rnacentral:tRNA from 1 species
GGGAGCGUAGCUCAGUCUGGUUAGAGCCCAUGCCUGUCACGCAUGAGGUCGCGAGUUCGAGCCUCGUCGUUCCCGCCA